GAAAAAACACCUGAGGGACUAAGACACUGUAAUACUUCCUCAGUUCAAAGCAAAGAGUGACCAGCUGCCUCUAACAAACAGAAGGGUUGUGAUUCAAAUUCAAAGAAGACAGAAGAUCUGAUGAGUUAGAAUUGACCGUGGGGCAGUCGUGGUGUGUAGGAACACCAAGCGUCUCUGUCUCAGGCCGAGAGCUGAGUGCACAUCUGGAAUUGAGGUAGUGGAGGGAGACAGCACGCUAAACAGCUUGGUUCGAU